rnacentral:rRNA from 1 species
CAAAAGAGCCAUCCUCCUCCUCCUCCUCCUCCGCUCCCCACGUCUCACCCCCCACAGGCUAGGGUUUCUCCAAUGGCGGCGGCGGGCUCCUCCAGGCGCGGGCCGAUGGACGACGACAAGCUGAACUUCGAGACCUCGGCGGGGGUGGAUGUCGUGGGAAGCUUCGACGCGAUGGGCAUCCGCGAGGACCUGCUCCGCGGCAUCUACGGCUACGGCUUCGAGAAGCCCUCUGCCAUCCAACAGCGCGCCGUCGUCCCCAUCAUCGCCGGCCGCGACGUCAUCGCCCAGGCCCAGUCCGGCACCGGCAAGACCUCCAUGGUCUCCCUCUCCGUCUGCCAGGUCAUCGACACCAACAUCCACGAUGAUUCUUUCAACAUGAAAGAAGAUGCAGAGGAAUGGUUUGUUUUUCAGGAAGUUGAAGGGAGGCUAACUCCAGGUGGAUGUUUUCUUUCAGGGUGCAAGCAUUGAUACUGUCACCAACUAGGGAACUGGCCACACAAACAGAGAGGGUGAUGCAAGCUGUUGGGAACUACAUGAGUGUCUCUGUGCAUGCCUGUGUCGGUGGCAAAAGUAUCGGUGAGGAUAUUAGGAAGCUUGAGGCUGGAGUGCAUGUUGUUUCAGGAACCCCAGGCAGAGUAUGUGAUAUGAUCAAGAGAAGGACCUUGCGCACAAGAGCCAUCAAGCUCCUAGUCCUGGAUGAAGCCGAUGAGAUGUUGACCAGAGGUUUUAAGGAUCAGAUCUAUGAUGUCUACAGAUACCUCCCCCCAGAACUUCAGGUCAGUCAUUGAAAUUAAACCUUUCUCAAACUGCUCUUUUGUGUAGUUUAUCAGUCUGUCUUGUCAUUGUGCUGAUGCUUUUUACUGCAGAUUUCAAGUUGUCACCUGCUUGUAUGUUUAUCUCUUCCACCUUUCUGACCUGACCUUUUCCUUGUGCAAUACCCAUGUCUUGCACCUUUUACUAUAAUCAUCUGCCAGUAGCUAGCCAUGAAUGGUUUGUUUUUAACUAUAGGGACAGAUUUGUGUGCUCCUCAGUUUAUUGUUCCUUUCUGUUAUUCUUCAUUUUUUUUCAGCAUGUUAUUGGUUGAGCAUUUGUAACAUUCUCUAAGCAGGGAACUGUUAAUGGGAAAAGCGGGCAUUUUAGAGUUAAAACUUAACAUGAGCACUAAGCCUCAUAGCUAGAAAUAAAGACAUCUCCCUGGCAGAGAUCUCAUACUUUUCUAAUUGUGUAUUUUUGAACCAUCUGCUGGUUGUCUUGAUCUCUGCAACUCUGCCCCAUGACAUCUUGGAGAUAACUAGCAAGUUCAUGACUGAUCCAGUCAGGAUCCUUGUAAAGCGUGAUGAGUUGACCCUAGAGGGCAUGAAACAAUUCUUUGUUGCUGUUGAGAAGGAAGAGUGGAAGUUUGAUACGCUGUGCGAUCUUUAUGAUACACUGACCAUCACCCAGGCUGUCAUUUUCUGCAAUACUAAGAGAAAGGUGGAUUGGCUUACUGAAAGGAUGCGCACCAACAACUUUACAGUAUCAGCUAUGCAUGGUGACAUGCCUCAAAAGGAAAGGGAUGCGAUUAUGAGUGAGUUCAGGAGUGGCACGACCCGUGUUCUGAUCACAACAGAUGUUUGGGCUCGAGGGCUGGAUGUUCAGCAGGUCUCUCUUGUCAUUAAUUAUGAUCUCCCGAAUAAUCGUGAGCUUUACAUCCAUCGCAUCGGUCGCUCUGGGCGUUUUGGGCGCAAGGGUGUGGCGAUCAACUUUGUGCGCAAGGACGACAUCCGCAUCCUGAGGGACAUUGAGCAGUACUACAGCACGCAGAUCGAUGAGAUGCCGAUGAACGUCGCCGAUUUGAUCUGAGCUCUGGACCGGAGCGGUCUCUCCCUCUCUGCGGGUGGAUGUUUGGUCAUGACGACUAUUCAGGUUUCCGUUGUUCCUUUUCGGCGGGUAUGAACGAAUAUGAAGUGUUUAUAUUCUUUCUUGGAGAACCAGCUCUGGCCAACGUGGCAGGCACUCUGCUCAUUGAACUUGUUAUUUUAAGUUCUAUCUAUGUUAUGUUUUGGUGUUGAUGCUAUAAUGCCAUGACCCUAUAAAUUGCUUAAACCUGUUUGAUUGGGUUGCCACAUUUAUGUUAUGUAUUUUCUUCUUCUUUUGAAAAUGCAUGGUGUGUAUAUUUUCAAGAAUUGCAAGUUGCAACAAGCAAGGCAGUUUAAAAUUACGAGAAAAGAAAAUGUAUUUAGGUCGUGUCGUGAAGUCUAG